CCCUUCCUCAGAAGACCGGGCGGAAGUAAAGCAAGAAGCCGGGACGUGUUUGGGCGGAAGUGGCGGGGCCAGGAGUCCCAAGGCGUGUUUGCACGGAAAUGGCAGCCUUGUCUGUAGAAAGGAUUUCCCAGAAAAUGGAAAUAAAAGGGAGGAAACUCAAGAAGGAAAAGAUAGUGAAAAACCUUUCCCACAGUGCUUUAUAGCUGAGAAAGAAAGAUGGAGUAUACUCCCUGUAAUGUCACUGCAUAUACUUUCAACGCAACGGGUCCAAAAUAUUUAGCUUUAUGAAGCAGAAAAUCCAGACUCUCCCCUCUUUGUGUUAUUGAAAUCCACACACCACGACAACCUCCUCCUUCUUUUUUCGGUUAAAGUUGGCUU